rnacentral:misc_RNA from 1 species
GAUGAAGAACGCAGCGAACUGCGAUAAGUAAUGUGAAUUGCAGAAUUCAGUGAAUCAUCGAGUCUUUGAACGCACAUUGUGCCCCCUGGCAUUCCGGGGGGCAUGCCUGUCCGAGCGUCAUUGCUGCCCUCAAGCACGGCUUGUGUGUUGGGCCUCCGUCCUCCUCCCGGGGGACGGGCCCGAAAGGCAGCGGCGGCACCGCGUCCGGUCCUCGAGCGUAUGGGGCUUCGUCACCCGCUCUUGUAGGCCCGGCCGGCGCUUGCCGACACAUCAAUCUUUUUUCCAGGUUGACCUCGGAUCAGGUAGGGAUACCCGCUGAACUUAAGCAUAUCAAUAAGCGGAGGA